rnacentral:rRNA from 1 species
GAUGAACGCUGGCGGCGUGCCUAAUACAUGCAAGUCGAGCGAACGGACGAGAAGCUUGCUUCUCUGAUGUUAGCGGCGGACGGGUGAGUAACACGUGGAUAACCUACCUAUAAGACUGGGAUAACUUCGGGAAACCGGAGCUAAUACCGGAUAAUAUUUUGAACCGCAUGGUUCAAAAGUGAAAGACGGUCUUGCUGUCACUUAUAGAUGGAUCCGCGCUGCAUUAGCUAGUUGGUAAGGUAACGGCUUACCAAGGCAACGAUGCAUAGCCGACCUGAUAGGCUGAUCGGCCACACGGGAACGGAGACACGGACCAGACGCCUACGGGAGGCAGCAGUCGGGAACCUUCCGCAAUGGGCGAAAGCCUGACGGAGCAACGCCGCGUGAGUGAUGAAGGUCUUCGGAGCGUAAAACUCUGUUAUUAGGGAAGAACAUAUGUGUAAGUAACUGUGCACAUCUUGACGGUACCUAAUCAGAAAGCCACGGCUAACUACGUG